CGUUAGGCUGCUGGAAUAAAAAGACCCCCACAAUAUAUAUAUAAUAGAAAAUAAUAUACCAUCCCGUAAUUCAAAUUUUCCAAAUUCUCAAUAUACAUAGUAUAAAAAAUAAUCUCUCAAAAGCAUAAAUUCCAUAAAGACCCAAAAUAUCAUUCAAAUAAUAAUCAAAACUUGCUUACACAUGCAAUUCCCACAAAAUACUUUCAUAAUCGAACCCCAUAUCACCCAAUCCAUAUAUUUUA
rnacentral:lncRNA from 1 species